rnacentral:rRNA from 1 species
AUUGAACGCUGGCGGCAUGCCUUACACAUGCAAGUCGAACGGCAGCACGGGAGCAAUCCUGGUGGCGAGUGGCGAACGGGUGAGUAAUAUAUCGGAACGUGCCCAGUCGUGGGGGAUAACGCAGCGAAAGCUGUGCUAAUACCGCAUACGAUCUAAGGAUGAAAGCGGGGGAUCGCAAGACCUCGCGCGAUUGGAGCGGCCGAUAUCAGAUUAGCUAGGUGGUGGGGUAAAGGCCCACCAAGGCGACGAUCUGUAGCUGGUCUGAGAGGACGACCAGCCACACUGGAACUGAGGAACGGUCCAGACUCCUACGGGAGGCAGCAGUGGGGAAUUUUGGACAAUGGGCGCAAGCCUGAUCCAGCAAUGCCGCGUGCAGGAUGAAGGCCUUCGGGUUGUAAACUGCUUUUGUACGGAACGAAACGGCCCUUUCUAAUACAGGGGGCUAAUGACGGUACCGUAAGAAUAAGCACCGGCUAACUACGUGCCAGCCGCCGCAGUAACAC